UUUCAUCUGCCGUAGCAGUGAAAGCUCUGCGCUGGCCAUCAGCUGCAGUACCUGUGACUUCAGCAUUGCUCAUAUAACGUCCUUUUUGCUUUGCAGAUUGUGGAUUCUUCUUCAAGCUGGGGAAGAAAUCUAAGCUUUGGCGGUGAUCUCCUGAUAUCCUCCUGUCCCAACUUAAGAAAAAUUACCCCCACCACAAAAAAAAGAAAAAAAGAGAGACCACACAAAAAAUCCAUAGAAAUUCGGAAUGUGCAUCCUUUCGUCUCAGGUUACAUUCAUGAUAUCUUUGGAAUCCAUGGCUCAUAGGGAAUCAUCUGAUGUAAACUUCAAGGAUUUGAGUCCAAAGUCCAAAAAUGUACAAUCAUUUUCUACAUUGUUGCUGAUGGUGUUUUUCUUCUCAUGGAUUCUUUUUGACCUGUCUGGUAGUUGUUUCGCAUUCUCUAUCUCUAUUCAUUUUCUGUGGUCUGUGUAUAUACUUCGCUGUCCUGUUUUGAAAUUUUCCUCUAUUUGUUUUCGGUUUCUGUCUGUUUUUCAUGUGCAGGAAAAUUCUGUGAACAUAAUAUUUGAUGUUUUGAUUGUGAGGUUGAAAGCGUUUUUUUAGGCUUUGGACGUGACUGAUGAGGGGUUAUAAAUACUUUUUGCGGUAAUACGGUGCUUCUCAGGUUGCAUAAUGAGGACUUUUUUUGUUACUGCCAAAUAAAGUUAUUUUGGUACUUUUAUAGCAGUUAUAUAACAUAUGUAAUAGCAGUAAUGAAAUGAUAAUGAUAAUGAUAGCAUGGCUAAAUCUAUAUAAGUUGUUUAAUACAUAACAUGUCGCUUAACAUAAUUGAGAACAGAAUCCUAUGGCUUCUCUACUUCUUAUGUCACACCCCUGUCUCCUAUACUUGGCUUAAUUCUGUUACAAGAAAGCAACCAAAGAAUCCUAAUCCAAACAGAAUCCUAUGGCUUCUGUACUACAAUUAAACCAAUUAAACAGAAUUCUGUAAUGCAAUUAAACCAAAGAAUCCUAAUACAAUUAAACAGAAUCCCAAUAAAAAUGAAUUAAACCAAAGAAUCCUAAUCUCAAAUAGAGUACUAUGGCUUUUGUACUUCUUAUGUCACACCCCUACCUCCUAAUUACAAUUAAUUGUAUUACAAAAAAGCAACCAAAGAAUCCUAACCUCAAACCUAAUCCUAUAAGGCGUAACAAAUUAACCAGGUCGAUGUCAAUGAAUUCAUAGUUAAAAUCAACUAGAGCAACUUUUCUUGAUUGAAGCUUUACCAUCCCCGAACCACCUCAAAAGAAAAGCACAAGUUUUCUUAAAUAAGCCAUAAGCUAUGGCCGCAGGCAACGGGAAAUCUGUUGAAGGAUUUUCAACCAUGAUUGUCUACAUCUUGGCAGCAAUCCUAAUAUCUAUGUCUCGAUCAAUUUCUUGUUGUAGUCAUGAGACUCGUGAACAAGUUAAUGAGAAUGCUUUGUCCGCUGACGACCGUCGAAUUCUGAAGCUGAUGAUGGACCGCUGUGUGGAUCUUUAUCUCGAUCCUUUUUCAUCUUUAGCAGAGAACCUUCUUGAAGAUGAACUGAUUAGGUUGAAGAAGCUGAAUACGUAUCGCUGUGGCAAGUUUUACAAUUUAAUUAGCUGGUCAUCAACCUAUAUAGUAAAAGCACGAAAGGAUUCGGUGGUUGUGCUGAUGUGGCUGCAUUUCAUUCGCUGGGGGGUCAUCGUCCAUCACGUGGGGCUCGUGUGCUUUCGCUGGGAGGAGAAUUCGGAUUCUUGCUUUUGUCCGCUGGGAGGAGAAGUGCAAUUCCUGUUUUUUGUCCAAGAGACGAAAAUGAAGACCAGCUGACCUGCGGAGCUCAAUGUGGCUCAAUGUGCUGACCUGCUGAGACGAAAGUGAUGGGCUCAAUGUGGGUUUCCAUGGUUUUACGAUUUUGCCCUUCUUUUUAAAAAACAGAUGCACCAUUGUUUGUUGCUGAGCUCAACCUAUUAUCCACUGGAUCCAAUCUAAGACGUGCAGUAGCACAGAAAAUCAGAUCAAUUGAAGGAAAAAGAUGAAAACUUUUAUGGGAUGCAAAUGCAAGUACUUGUGGAUAUAUUCCAUCCUUUUCUGUCCUCCAAAGAGUGAGGAAGAAAAGGAAGAACAACCUCUGUGAAAUUUGUGGAGGAUGGCAAAAAAUUGUGGUAAAACUCCUGCUCCUAUUUUUUUCACUGUACUUUGGGCCUUUUGUUUUUAGAUUUUAAUAUUCUUCUCUUAAGUACUAGCUUUGAGUGAAUCCUUUUACCUGUCAAAAUGAAAUCUGCCAAAAUUAUAUCAAGUGCAUCUGUUAAAUCAGAAGCUAAAUGAUAAAUAACAUUAACUAAUAUGGAACAAAAGGGUCGAGGUUAAGACUUUUCACUUUCACUUUUACAGAGAAGUUUAAAGAUUUUCCGAAGAAACCUCUAAGCUGGUUCAGGAAUCAUUUUUUGCUCAGUUAAAAGUUGAAUCCUUUUGUUCUUUUCUUGUUUUUUCACUGAAUAUGGGACCUGGUCUUCAUGCAAUUUCUGUCUCUGCAUCUUUUAGGACAAGUCAAUAUUUCUAAAGUAGUAUAUGUUUGAGAGUAAGACUAGAGAGAUGAUUGUCUACACAACCGAGGGUACUUUGCCAUUGCAAUUUCUCAGGGAUAAAUUUUUCCCCAUCAGAUUUUUAUCUCUGACCUUUUCUUUCUUCUUUCUUCUUUUUCUGGUAUCCACUACAGGAAGAAGCAAUCUUUAUUUGUAGUCCAGGAAUAAACAAAUGGUGAAGAUAGCCUUUAAGUAGGUGUUUGUUCACCUUUUAUUGUUGUUUUUCCUUUUUUGGGUUUUAAUGAUAGUAUAAGUUCUAAUUAAUUGAGGUUCUGUUUAAUUGAUAGGUGAGAAUACCUUAAACUAGGUGACUUGGUUGAGCAGAUAUUGUGCACAUCCGUAUUUGGAACUCCAUAGCAUGUCAGCUUCCUUAUUUGGCUAUCUAGAUAGACUAUUUUGUAGUGUGAAAAUGUCAUCUUCUUUUGAUGGGCUUUUGAAUAACGAAUCAUUAGUUUCUUUUCAUUGAUUAAUUUUAUAGAUUGAUUACACUUUUGUUGUUAGAGUAAGUUUUACUUGGUAAUAAAUUUGUAUAUUUCAUCUUUAACCUUUUGGGUUCAUUUCUUGAACUUCAAUAUUUAUAGGUAUAAACUUGUUGAAAAAAGGAUGAGAGGCAUUGGCAGUGUGAGGAGGGACGUAAAAGAAAAGAAGAAAGGUGUGCGAAAAAGUGCAAAUUGAAAUACUGAUACUGAAAUCAUUAUGGUCAUUACUGUAAUGACUAAAAUGUUAAGAAAAAGCUAGAGAUUGAGUUUCAAGAAAAGACCCUUGGGUUACUUGGCGCUAAGAUAGGCAUUGGUCAUUUAAGUUUCCUAUUCUUUGGGAAAUUCACUAUUAUAUGACCAUUUCAAUAUUCUUUUACCAUACUAGAGCUACUGUGUUUGGUUGACUGUAUCAUUGACAGCUAUUUAAUGUAACUUGUCUUUACUCCUCGCAGCUAAAAUGGAUUGAUGAGGAUUUUCUGAGCUAUGACUUUGAGUUCAACAUUUUGCUGACUUGCAAAAUUUGUUAAGAGAAUUUUCUUCAUUUUCCUUGGAAUAUGUUUCUACUGUUCUAUGUGCAGGUUAUUAGUCAAGAUAUGGAGAUUAAAGGACCUCAUUUAAAACAUCUGACACUUCUUUAGGCUUUGUUGUUCUAGGCCCAAUCAGAUAUCUUUAUACUUACUGUUAUUUGAUUGUGUGGCUUGAGUUCAAAUUAAAUAAAUUAUUUGAGAGAAUGCUUAAUGAUUUGUUUGGCUUGUUUUGCUUAGCAAUGAGUCAAAGCCUGAAGAGUGGAAGAACUCUUACCGUUUCCCUUGCAUUAUCAUGAUUGAAGUGUCAUGCACCCCUAGAAUCAAGAUUGGAAUUAUUUCUAUGUCUGUCCUGCAUGGAUCUACAGUGAUUAUUUAUUAGCCUCAUUUUUGGAUACAUAUUAUUGUAGACAUUAUGUACCUUUUACAUUUUAAAUAAGAGGUUUUGUUUGUAAAGAUAGUGACCAACUUUUGUUUCAAUGCAUCAUAUUGUGUAUAUUGGAC